rnacentral:rRNA from 1 species
UACGUAGGACCCAAGCGUUAUCCGGAGUGACUGGGCGUAAAGAGUUGCGUAGGCGGUCUGUAAAGCGAAUAGUGAAAGCUGGUGGCUCAACCACCAACCCAUUAUUCGAACUCACAGACUCGAGAAUGGUAGAGGUAGCUGGAAUUUCUAGUGUAGGGGUAAUAUCCGUAGAUAUUAGAAGGAACACCAAUGGCGUAGGCAGGCUACUGGACCAUUUCUGACGCUGAGGCACGAAAGCGUGGGGAGCGAACCGG